rnacentral:rRNA from 1 species
CUCGGUGGCUAUCGCGGUGUUGCAACACCCGUUCCCAUCCCGAACACGGCCGUGAAACACACCAGCGCCCAUGGUACUGCGUCUCAAGACGCGGGAGAGUCGGUCGCCGCCGAGC